rnacentral:rRNA from 1 species
CCCUAUGAUCAUACUACGUUGAACGCACCGCAUCCCGUCAGAUCUACGAACGUAACGAACGUUAGCCUGGGCUAGUACUACGGUUGGAGACGACUGGGCUAGUACUACGGUUGGAGACG